ACGAUUAUAUUACAUUGAAGCACCUGUUCGCGUAUGGUCAUCGAUGUUAAGCAACGUCGGGCUUGGUCAGUACCCAGAUGGGUGACCACUUUUGAAUAUCAGGUCUUGUAA